rnacentral:rRNA from 1 species
GUUAUUAAGGGUGCAGGGCGGAUGCCUUGGCCCUUUAGUA